UGGGGAAUAUUGCACAAUGGGGGAAACCCUGAUGCAGCGACGCCGCGUGGAGGAAGAAGGUCUUCGGAUUGUAAACUCCUGUUGUUGAGGAAGAUAAUGACGGUACUCAACAAGGAAGUGACGGCUAACUACGUGCCAGCAGCCGCGGUAAAACGUAGGUCACAAGCGUUGUCCGGAAUUACUGGGUGUAAAGGGAGCGCAGGCGGGAGACAAGUUGGAAGUGAAAUCCAUGGGCUCAACCCAUGAACUGCUUUCAAAACUGUUUUCUUGAGUAGUGCAGAGGUAGGCGGAAUUCCCGGUGUAGCGGUGGAAUGCGUAGAUAUCGGGAGAACACCAGUGGCGAAGGCGGCCUACUGGGCACCAACUGACGCUGAGGCUCGAAAGUGUGGGUAGCAAACAGGAUUAGAUACCCCUGUA
rnacentral:rRNA from 1 species